UGGGGAAUAUUGCACAAUGGGGGAAACCCUGAUGCAGCGACGCCGCGUGAACGAAGAAGGUAUUCGUAUCGUAAAGUUCUGUCCUAUGGGAAGAUAAUGACAGUACCAUAGAAGAAAGCUCCGGCUAAAUACGUGCCAGCAGCCGCGGUAAUACGUAUGGAGCGAGCGUUGUCCGGAAUUAUUGGGCGUAAAGGGUACGCAGGCGGUUUAAUAAGUCGAAUGUUAAAGAUCGGGGCUCAACCCCGCAAAGCAUUGGAAACUGAUAAACUUGAGUAGUGGAGAGGAAAGUGGAAUUCCUAGUGUAGUGGAGAAAUAUGUAGAUAUUAGGAGGAAUACCAGUAGCGAAGGCGACUUUCUGGACACAAACUGACGCUGAGGUACGAAAGCGUGGGGAGCAAACAGG
rnacentral:rRNA from 1 species